rnacentral:rRNA from 1 species
GACAACGCUGGCGGCGUGCUUAAUACAUGCAAGUUGAGCGGAGCCAUUGAUGAAGCUUGCGAUUCAAUGGUCGAGCGGCGGACGGGUGAGUAACGCGUGGGCAACCUGCCCUCUAGUCUGGGAUAACAGUUCGAAAGGGCUGCUAACACCGGAUAAGCUCACGGAGAGGCAUCUUUCAGUGAGAAAAGUUUACGCUAGAGGAUGGGCCCGCGUCCCAUUAGCUAGUUGGUGAGGUAACGGCUCACCAAGGCGCCGAUGGGUAGCCGACCUGAGAGGGUGACCGGCCACACUGGGACUGAGACACGGCCCAGACUCCUACGGGAGGCAGCAGUAGGGAAUUUUCCGCAAUGGGCGAAAGCCUGACGGAGCAACGCCGCGUGAGGGAAGAAGGUCUUCGGAUCGUAAACCUCUGUCUUCAGGGACGAUGAUGACGGUACCUGAGGAGGAAGCCACGGCUAACUACGUG